rnacentral:lncRNA from 1 species
UAAUUGUUCAAGCACCAACCUCUUUUCCUUAUGAAAAUAACAAAGCGGUUCCAUGGAGUUAUGAAGUCACAUCCCAUUUAGUAAAUCAUCAAUCAUGUGAUAUCUUUAAGCCUCAAGGUACUGAUAUCACCAAUAUUUCAGGGAUUAGCGGGAUGACCCGAAGUGGUCGAGUAUACACUCCUGAAGAACUUAGGAAAAAGGAAGGUCGUGG